CCAGACUCCUACGGGAGGCAGCAGUGGGGAAUAUUGCACAAUGGGGGGAACCCUGAUGCAGCGACGCCGCGUGGGUGAAGAAGCGCCUCGGCGCGUAAAGCCCUGUCAGCAGGGAAGAAAAUGACGGUACCUGAAGAAGAAGCCCCGGCUAACUACGUGCCAGCAGCCGCGGUAAUACGUAGGGGGCAAGCGUUAUCCGGAUUCACUGGGUGUAAAGGGAGCGUAGACGGCGACGCAAGUCUGGAGUGAAAGCCCGGGGCCCAACCCCGGGACUGCUCUGGAAACUGCGUCGCUGGAGUACGGGAGGGGCAGGCGGAAUUCCUGGUGUAGCGGUGAAAUGCGUAGAUAUCAGGAGGAACACCGGUGGCGAAGGCGGCCUGCUGGACUGCAACUGACGUUGAGGCCCGAAAGCGUGGGGAGCAAACAGGAUUAGAUACCCCGGUAUAU
rnacentral:rRNA from 1 species